AUUGAACGCUGGCGGCAUGCCUUACACAUGCAAGUCGAACGGUAACAGGUCUUCGGAUGCUGACGAGUGGCGAACGGGUGAGUAAUACAUCGGAACGUGCCUAGUAGUGGGGGAUAACUACUCGAAAGAGUGGCUAAUACCGCAUGAGAUCUACGGAUGAAAGCAGGGGAUCGCAAGACCUUGUGCUACUAGAGCGGCCGAUGGCAGAUUAGGUAGUUGGUGGGAUAAAAGCUUACCAAGCCGACGAUCUGUAGCUGGUCUGAGAGGACGAUCAGCCACACUGGGACUGAGACACGGCCCAGACUCCUACGGGAGGCAGCAGUGGGGAAUUUUGGACAAUGGGCGCAAGCCUGAUCCAGCAAUGCCGCGUGCAGGAUGAAGGCCUUCGGGUUGUAAACUGCUUCUGUACGGAACGAAAAGCCCUGGGUUAAUACCCUGGGGUCAUGACGGUACCGUAAGAAUAAGCACCGGCUAACUACGUGACAGCAGCCGCAGUAAUAC
rnacentral:rRNA from 1 species